UACGUAGGGGCAAGCGUUGUCCGGAAUUAUUGGGCGUAAAGCGCGCGCAGGCGGUCUUUUAAGUCUGAUGUGAAAGCCCACGGCUUAACCGUGGAGGGUCAUUGGAAACUGAGGGACUUGAGUACAGAAGAGGAGAGUGGAAUUCCACGUGUAGCGGUGAAAUGCGUAGAGAUGUGGAGGAACACCAGUGGCGAAGGCGACUCUCUGGUCUGUAACUGACGCUGAGGUGCGAAAGCGUGGGUAGCAAACAGGAUUAGAUACCCUGGUA
rnacentral:rRNA from 1 species